GACGAACGCUGGCGGCGUGCUUAACACAUGCAAGUCGAACGGAAAGGCCCUGCUUUUGUGGGGUGCUCGAGUGGCGAACGGGUGAGUAACACGUGAGUAACCUGCCCUUGACUUUGGGAUAACUUCAGGAAACUGGGGCUAAUACCGGAUAGGAGCUCCUGCUGCAUGGUGGGGGUUGGAAAGUUUCGGCGGUUGGGGAUGGACUCGCGGCUCAUCAGCUUGUUGGUGGGGUAGUGGCUUACCAAGGCUUUGACGGGUAGCCGGGCUGAGCUGGUGACCGGCCCCGUCGGGACUGAGCUACGGCACGGACUACUCCGGGAGGCAGCAGUGGAGAGUAUUGCAUAAUGGGCGGAAGCCUAGUGCAGCAACGCCGCGUGCGGGAUGACGGCAUUCGGGUUGUAUACCGCUUUCGCCUGUGACGAAGUGUGAGUGACGGUAAUGGGUAAAGAAGCACCGGCUAACUACGUG
rnacentral:rRNA from 1 species